rnacentral:rRNA from 1 species
UAGCCGUAAACGAUACUCGCUAGGUGUCGGCCACGGUGCGACCGUUGUCGGUGCCGUAGGGAAGCCGUGAAGCGAGCCACCUGGGAAGUACGGCCGCAAGGCUGAAACUUAAAGGAAUUGGCGGGGGAGCACCGACAACGGGUGGAGCUUGCGGUUUAAUUGGAUUCAACGCCGGAAAUCUUACCGGGACCGACAGCAACAUGAAGGCCAGGCUGAAGACUUUGCCGGAUUAGCUGAGAGGAGGUGCAUGGCGUAGUCGUGU